rnacentral:rRNA from 1 species
UACGGGGGGGGCAAGCGUUGUUCGGAAUUACUGGGCGUAAAGGGCCAGUAGGCGGCCAACUAAGUCGGAUGUGAAAUCCCCAGGCUUAACCUGGGAACUGCAUCCGAUACUGGAUGGAUUGAAUUCGGGAGAGGGAUGCAGAAUUCCAGGUGUAGCGGUGAAAUGCGUAGAUAUCUGGAGGAAUACCGGUGGCGAAGGCGGCAUCCUGGACCGACAUUGACGCUGAACGGCGAAAGCUAGGGGAGCAAACGGG